UUCCCUACCGAGGAAUCAACCGGGGGUCUUCUGCAUUGUAGGUGGAUUCUUUACCAACUGAGCUACCAGGGA
rnacentral:tRNA from 1 species